GGGCCAUAGCUCAGGGACAGAGCAUCUGUUUUGCAUGCAGAAGUCCCAGGUUCAAUCCCCAACAGCUCCA